rnacentral:rRNA from 1 species
AUUGAACGCUGGCGGCAGGCCUAACACAUGCAAGUCGAACGAGUGGCGGACGGGUGAGUAAUGUCUGGGAAACUGCCUGAUGGAGGGGGAUAACUACUGGAAACGGUAGCUAAUACCGCAUACCAUCAGAUGUGCCCAGAUGGGAUUAGCUUGUUGGGGGGGUAACGGCUCACCAAGGCGACGAUCCCUAGCUGGUCUGAGAGGAUGACCAGCAACAUGGGAAUUGAGAAACGGUCCAGAGUCCUACGGGAGGCAGCAGUGGGGAAUUUUGCACAAGGGGCGCAAGCCUGAGGAAGCCAUGCCGGGUGGAUGAAGAAGGCUUACGGGUUGUAAAGUACUUUCAGCGGGGAGGCGUUACCCGCAGAAGAAGCACCGGCUAACUCCGUGCCAGCAGCCGCGGUAUUC